UGCAAGUUAUUGUCGGUACAGGUGUACGUCUUUUUAGUGACGUUUUGUGCAUUGUUUUUUUAUUUAAUUUUUAGCCCAUUGUUACUUCUGUCGUCACAUUGGAUACAGGUUAUUUGAAAUAAGGUCACGAUGAGAUCCGAAGACAAGAAUGAC